AAGAGAUAUAGUUUCUACCUUGCUAAAGAACAAAUAUUGUUCGAUAUUUUUUUUAAAAAAAGAGUACCUUGGUGAAGGAACUGAUGCUUCUAAUACAGAACUUAUGAAGUUUGACAGGUAGAAGAAUUGACAUAAUCUAGUGAACCCAUAGAACUAGAUUUGAUUAGAUCAAACUCAGAAUCCAUUAUAGAGGCACCACAAAGG
rnacentral:lncRNA from 1 species